ACGUUCUUUCAAACCCGUUCCGC
rnacentral:siRNA from 1 species